UAGGAGGCAGCAGUGGGGAAUCUUGCACAAUGGGGGAAACCCUGAUGCAGCGACGCCGCGUGAGCGAUGAAGCCCUUCGGGGUGUAAAGCUCUUUCGGCAGGGAAGAUAAUGACGGUACCUGCAGAAGCAGCUGCGGCUAACUACGUGCCAGCAGCCGCGGUAAUACGUAGGCAGCAAGCGUUGUUCGGAGUUACUGGGCGUAAAGGGUGUGUAGGCGGUUCUUUAAGUUUGGUGUGAAAUCUCCCGGCUCAACCGGGAGGGUGCGCCGAAUACUGAGGGACUCGAGUGCGGGAGAGGAAAGUGGAAUUCCUGGUGUAGCGGUGAAAUGCGUAGAUAUCAGGAGGAACACCGGUGGUGUAGACGGCUUUCUGGACCGUAACUGACGCUGAGACACGAAAGCGUGGGUAGCAAACAGGAUUAGAUACCCCGGU
rnacentral:rRNA from 1 species